GACGAACGCUGGCGGCGUGCUUAACACAUGCCAGUCGAACGGAAAGGCCCUGCUUUUGUGGGGUGCUCGAGUGGCGAACGGGUGAGUAACACGUGAGUAACCUGCCCUUGACUUUGGGAUAACUUCAGGAAACUGGGGCUAAUACCGGAUAGGAGCUCCUGCUGCAUGGUGGGGGUUGGAAAGUUUCGGCGGUUGGGGAUGGACUCGCGGCUUAUCAGCUUGUUGGUGGGGUAGUGGCUUACCAAGGCUUUGACGGGUAGCCGGCCUGAGAGGGUGACCGGCCACAUUGGGCCUGAGAUACGGCCCAGUCUCCUACGGGAGGCAGCAGUGGGGAAUAUUGCACAAUGGGCGGAAGCCUGAUGCAGCAACGCCGCGUGCGGGAUGACGGCCUUCGGGUUGUAAACCGCUUUCGCCUGUGACGAAGCGUGAGUGACGGUAAUGGGUAAAGAAGCACCGGCUAACUACGUG
rnacentral:rRNA from 1 species